CCAUAGGUGGCUGAGACGGUACAGCGUCUGCCUACAAUGCGGGAGACCCAGGUUCGAUGCCUGGGUUGGGAA
rnacentral:tRNA from 1 species